AAAUUUUAAUUGAAAAUUUAGGUUAAAUUAAUCAAAUCAUCUAACGACUCUCAAUUAUCAACUUCACAUAAAGUCGACUGCACUUGAGUUUCCAC